AACGAACGCUGGCGGCAUGCCUAACACAUGCAAGUCGAACGAAGUCUUCGGACUUAGUGGCGCACGGGUGCGUAACGCGUGGGAAUCUGCCCUUGGGUACGGAAUAACUCAGAGAAAUUUGUGCUAAUACCGUAUAAUGUCUUCGGACCAAAGAUUUAUCGCCCAAGGAUGAGCCCGCGUAAGAUUAGCUAGUUUGUGGGGUAAAAGCCUACCAAGGCGACGAUCUUUAGCUGGUCUGAGAGGAUGAUCAGCCACACUGGGACUGAGACACGGCCCAGACUCCUACGGGAGGCAGCAGUGGGGAAUAUUGGACAAUGGGCGAAAGCCUGAUCCAGCAAUGCCGCGUGAGUGAUGAAGGCCCUAGGGUUGUAAAGCUCUUUUACCAGGGAUGAUAAUGACGGUACCUGGAGAAUAAGCUCCGGCUAACUCCGUG
rnacentral:rRNA from 1 species